CGCAAAAUGGCUGAACAAUUAAUAGGCGGUUGGCUGUAAACCUUCUUAUGGGAAUUCUCUUUUGUGA
rnacentral:tRNA from 1 species